UCAUAAGCCGCCAUCAUGGUAAAGCUCGCAAAGGCCGGCAAAAAUCAAGGUGACUCCAAGAAAAUGGCUCCUCCCCCAAAGAAGGUAGAAAAAGAUAGUGAAGAUGAGGAAAUGUCAGAGAUGAAGACGAUGAGAGCAGUGGAGAAGAGGUUGUUAUCCCUCAGAAAAAAAGGCAAGAAGGCUACCACAACUCCAGCAAAGAAGACGGUGGUUUCCCCAACAAAAAAGUUUGCAGUUGCCACACCAGCAAAGAAAGCAGUUGUCACCCCUGGCAAAAAGGCAGCAGCUAUGCCAGCCAAGAAGACAGUUACACCUGCCAAAGCAGUGGUAACACCUGGCAAAAAGGGAGCCACCCCAGGCAAAGCAUUGGUAGCAACCUCUGGUAAGAAGGGAGCAGCCACCCCAGGCAAGGGAGCAAAGAACCGCAAGAAUGCCAAGAAGGAAGACAGUGAUGAAGAAGAUGAAGAUGACAGUGAAGAGGAAGACGAUGAUGAGGAAGAGGAGGAUGAGCCAGCAGUGAGGAAGGCAGCUGCUGCUUUUGGUGCUGCUCCUGCCACAGAUGAUGAGGAUGACGAGGAUGAUGACGACGAUGAUGAGGAAGCUGACUCUGAAGAAGAACCUAUGGAGAUUGCAUCAGCGAAAGGAAAGAAAGCUCCAGUAAAAGCUGUUCCUGUGAAAGUUAAGAGCACUGCUGAAGAUGAAGAUGAAGAGGAGGAGGAGGAGGAUGAAGAGGAGGAGGAAGAGGAUGACGAUGAUGAGGAGGAGGACGAUGAGGCGGAAACAGAGGAGGAGGAGGAAGGAGAAGAGGAGGAAGAGGAAGAAGAGCCUGUCAAAGAAGCACCUGGAAAACGAAAGAAGGAAAUGGCCAAACAAAAAGCAGCUCCUGAAGCCAAGAAACAAAAAGUGGAAGGCACAGAACCAACUACAUCUUUCAAUCUCUUUGUUGGAAACCUGAACUUCAAUAAAUCUGCUCCUGAAUUGAAAAUGCGUAUCAGUGAUCUUUUUGCUAAAAAUGAUCUUGCUGUUGUCGAUGUCAGAAUUGGUGUGUCUAGGAGGUUUGGCUAUGUAGAUUUUGAAUCUGCUGAAGACCUGGAAAAAGCCUUGGAACUCACUGGUUUAAAAGUCUUUGGCAAUGAAAUUAAACUAGAAAAACCAAAGGGAAAAGACAGUAAGAAAGAUCGAGAUGCAAGAACACUUUCGGCUAAAAAUCUGCCUUACAAAGUUAUUCAGGAUGAAUUAAAAGAAGUGUUUGAAGAUGCUGUGGAGAUCAGAUUAGUCAGCAAGGAUGGAAAGAGUAAAGGGAUUGCUUAUAUUGAAUUUAAGACAGAAGCUGAUGCAGAAAAAAACUUGGAAGAAAAGCAGGGAACAGAGAUACAUGGGCGAUCCAUUUUUCUGUACUACACUGAAGAGAAAGGCCAAAGUCAAGACCAUAGAAGUGGAAAGAAUAGCACUUGGAGUGGUAAAUCGAAAACCCUGGUUUUAAGCAACCUCUCCUAUAGUGCAACAGAAGAAACUCUUCAGGAAGUAUUUGAGAAGGCAACUCAUAUCAAGGUGCCCCAGAACCAAAAUGGCAAAUCUAAAGAGUAUGCAUUUAUAGAAUUUGCUUCAUUUGAAAAUGCUAAAGAAGCUUAAAAUUCAUGUAAUAAAAGGGAAAUUGAGGGCAGAGCCAUCAGACUGGAGUUGCAAGGACCCAGGGGAUCACCUAAUGCAAGAAGCCAGCCAUCCAAGACUCUCUUUGUCAAAGGUCUCUCUGAGGAUACCACAGAAGAGACGUUAAAGGAGUCCUUUGAUGCCUCUAUUCAAGCAAGGAUAGUCACUGACCGGGAGACUGGAUCCUCCAAAGGGUUUGGUUUUGUAGACUUUAACAGCGAGGAAGAUGCCAAAGCUGCCAAGGAGGCCAUGGAAGAUGGUGAUAUCGACAGAAACAAAGUCACUUUGGACUGGGCCAAACCUAAGGGUGAAGGUGGCUUUGGUGGCUGAGGAGGAGGCAGAGGUGGCUUUGGAGGCUGAGGUGGUGGCAGAGGUGGCCGAGGUGGCUUUGGUGGCAGAGGCCGGGGAGGCUUUGGAAGGCGAGGAGUCUUCCAAGGAGGCAGGGGAGGAGGAGGAGACCACAAGCCACAAGGAAAGAAGAUGAAAUUUGAAUAG